rnacentral:lncRNA from 10 species
UUCCCGCUCGCGCCUCUCCCUCCACACCUCCCGGCAAGCUGAGGGAGCCGGCUCUGGCCUUGGCCAGCCGAGAAAGGGGAUCCCACAGUGCAGCGGUGGGCUGAAGGGCUCCUCAAGCACGGCCAGAGUGGGCGCCAAGGCCGAGGAGGCACCGAGAACUAGCGAGGGCUGUGAGGACUGCCAGCACGCCGUCACCUCUCAGUAAAAGUGGAAGUCAGAGACCCCAAAUGGAGAGACCGGCUGGAGCUGUGGCAGAAGAACAUAAAUUGUGAAGAUUUCACAUUAAUAUGGACAUUUAUCAGUUCCCAAAUAAUACUUUUAUAAUUUCUUAUGCCUGUCUUUACUUAAUCUCUUAAUCCUGUUAUCUUCAUAAGCAGAGGAUGUAUGUCACCUCAGGACCACUGUGAUAAUUGUGUUAACUGUACAAAUUGAUUGUAAAACGUGUGUUUGAACAAUAUUAAAUCAGUGCACCUUGGAAAAGAACAGAAUAACAGAAAUUUUUAUGGAAUAAGGGAAGACAACCAAAAGGUCUGACUGCCUGUGGGGUUGGGCAAUAAGAGCCAUAUUUUUCUUCUUGCAGAGAGCCUAUAAAUGGAUGUGCAAGUAGGAAAGAUAUUGCUAAAUUCUUUUCCUAGCAAGGAAUAUGAAUAUUAGUACCCUGGGAAAGGAAUGUGUUCCUUGGGGGAGGUCUAUAAAUGGCUGCUCUGGGAAUGGUUUGUCUUGUGCAGUUGAGAUAAGGACUGAGAUACGCCCUCGUCUCCUGCAGAACCCUCAGGCUUACUAGGGUUGGGAAACUCCACCCUGGUAAAUAUGUGGUCAGACCGGUUCCCUGCUCUCAAACCCUAUGUUCUGUUGUUUGAGAUGUUUAUCAAGACAAUACGUGCACCACUGAACAUGGACCCUUAUCAGUGGUUCUGCUUUUGCCCUUUGUCCUGUUCCCUCAGAAGCAUGUGAUCUUUGUUAGACCCUUAUUAGUAGUUCUGCUUUUUGCCCUUUGAAGCAUGUGAUCUUUGUACCUACUCCCUGUUCUUACACCCCCACCCCUUUUGAAACCCUUAAUAAAAACUUGCUGGUCUGAGACUCAGGCGGGCAUCACGGUCCUAUCGAUAUGUGAUAUCACCCCCGGCGGCCCAGCUGUAAAAUUCCUCUCUUUGUACUGUCUCUCUUUAUUUCUCAGCCAGCUGACACUUACGGAAAAUAGAAA